GAGGUCCCCGGGCGCGGCUGGGGCAGCGGGAGGCGCGGGAGGCCGAGGUCCGGGUGGCCGCCGCGGCCGCCCCCGAAGCGCUGCUGUCACCCCGGCCGCGCCCCCCAACUUUCUGCACAGUCGCGGAGCUGGAAGUUUCCGGGCUUCGCGGACACGCUGGGCUGGGUUUCAGUCGCGGCUCCGAGGUUGGCAACAAAGAGGGAAAGAAGGAGGAAAAGCAGGCCGGGGAGGGGAGGAAGAGAACCGCGCGGAGGCCGCGGCGCCGAGAGCCCCAGAACUUCCAAUUCUACCCAGAAGCUUUUUUCGUCGUGUUUUUCUCUUAGGUAAACAAGCAAGUUCCACGCCCCAGUCCUGCUGGGGCCUUCGCCAGCCACCGCUCUGGGCUCAUCUCCCGGCGCCUCCUCGGGGCACCUGAGCGUUUUAAGCCCCACUGCCAAGUGUUUUGGACACAGGUUUUUUUGCGGGGUGGUGAGGUUGGGCACAAGAUGCUUCCUAAAAGGUUGUUGGCACGCAGACCAUGGCCCCAGUGACGGAGCGGUAGGCAGGGGCUUGAGGAACACGCUGUCUUUGUCUCGUCCCCAAAGCACCCGGCCGUGGGUCACCCGUGAUCCCUGGAGUGGAGGGACUGUUGUGACCCCUGGUGCUCCAGGAGAAGGGGUUCCAUGCUGGGUCCCGGGCCCAGGCCCACGGUGCCCUCAGCCUGCAGUUCUCCACCUUGCGGAAUGAUUUGCUGGCCCGGCCCAGCUCCCCGGCACCACCAUUUUCUGCCCUCUUUUCCCUGCCUGGCUUCAAACCCUCCCAGGCAAGGGUCCCGAGGAGACACCUGGGCUGGGGGAGGCAACUGAGUGGCCCCAGGCCUGGGAAUCUGCAAAAGUGGCCAAGCCACAUCUCUCGAGACUGCAAGGGCCCUGGAGGCGCUGGGAGGCACAGAUCUGGCUGCCAGCUGGGCCUGAGGCCUCCCUUUGUCCGUCCUUCCUGUUCUUCCUCACCAGACAUGAUCCUCUCUGAGGUUGGUCCUGGGCUUCCAUACGUGAUUCAUGGAAGAGGUCUCAGCCCCAAGAGCCCCUGAGGGUACUGUCCACUCCCCCUGGAAACUUCCAGAACCUGACGUGGGG
rnacentral:lncRNA from 1 species